rnacentral:rRNA from 1 species
UACGUAGGGUGCAAGCGUUAAUCGGAAUUACUGGGCGUAAAGCGUGCGCAGGCGGCUUUGCAAGACAGAUGUGAAAUCCCCGGGCUCAACCUGGGAACUGCAUUUGUGACUGCAUGGCUAGAGUGCGGCAGAGGGGGAUGGAAUUCCGCGUGUAGCAGUGAAAUGCGUAGAUAUGCGGAGGAACGCCGAUGGCGAAGGCAAUCCCCUGGGCCUGCACUGACGCUCAUGCACGAAAGCGUGGGGAGCAAACAGG